rnacentral:rRNA from 1 species
CCACGGGACGCACCAGUGAGGAAUAUUGGUCAAUGGGCGAAAGCCUGAACCAGCCAUGCCGCGUGAAGGAUGACGGCCCUAUGGGUUGUAAACUUCUUUUAUACGGGAAGAAACACCUCUACGUGUAGAGGUUUGACGGUACCGUACGAAUAAGCAUCGGCUAACUCCGUGCCAGCAGCCGCGGUAAUACGGAGGAUGCAAGCGUUAUCCGGAUUUAUUGGGUUUAAAGGGUACGUAGGCGGAAACUUAAGUCAGUAGUGAAAUCCCGCAGCUUAACUGUGGAACUGUUAUUGAUACUGGGUUUCUUGAAUAUUGUUGAGGUAGGCGGAAUAAGUAAUGUAGCGGUGAAAUGCUUAGAUAUUACUUAGAACACCGAUUGCGAAGGCAGCUUACUAAGCAAUUAUUGACGCUGAGGUACGAAAGCGUGGGGAGCGAACAGGAUUAGAUACCCCGGUAGUC